rnacentral:piRNA from 1 species
UACAAACUUGCUAAAACCUGGCUGAGGAU